UACGUAGGGUGCGAGCGUUGUCCGGAAUUAUUGGGCGUAAGGAGCUCGUAGGCGGUUUGUUGCGUCGGCUGUGAAAUCCCGAGGCUCAACCUCGGGUCUGCAGUCGAUACGAGCAAACUAGAGUGUUGCAGGGGAGACUGGAAUUCCUGGUGUAGCGGUGAAAUGCGCAGAUAUCAGGAGGAACACCGGUGGCGAAGGCGGGUCUCUGGGCAACAACUGGCGCUGUGGAGCGAAAGCGUGGGGAGCGAACAGG
rnacentral:rRNA from 1 species